CAAAUAAUGGUAAUUUUGACGAGAGGGAGUUGCUCGGAUAGUAAGCACUCCUCACUUUCAACGAGUCACCAAGGGAGCAAAAGUGGUGGGUGCUCCUAGGGAGGGUUAAAAAAUUAAUAAUAAUAAAUAAAUAAUGGUAAUUUUAACCAUUUUUUAUGGUAAUUUUAGUAGUAUGCAAAUUAACUGAGUCAACUAAAUCAGCAGCUUUUGCCUACAAUACUCUUUUCUGAUAUAGGUACAAAUAUGUGUUUUUGCACUAAUGGUAAGAUGAAGAUGGAAACAUGAUUAGUCGACUACGUUGUUUGCGAUAGUACAAGUACUGGUAUUGCGCACAUCGGUUUAAUUUGUCAUCAUUUAUUUCUUACUUUUCAAGUAUAAGAAUGACCAAGAUGCCCUAGAAAAAUAUUGGUGAAGCAAUAUGUUCUGUUAUUAGUGGACUGAAGUCUUUGGCCUUAAUGAAAUGGUGAAGCAUUGUUCACCAGUGUAGUGUGCACUGCAGACAAUGUGGAGUUGACUUUUUGACAAGUACAUGUAUUAGGUCUUAACCAUAAAACAGCCUCUCCUUUUAGUUUAUGCCCAUAUAUGUAUUUCUAUUCACUUCAUUUCUUCUUUUUGUCUCUUCUGUUUGGUGUUCAAAAGAGCUGAAAAUAAACCUAUAAACAUUACUAUCUAGACUAAAGUGUCUAAAGGUAUUAAGGUAGAUCCAAGUAAAAGACAACGGAAUACAAAUACCAACUUAGUUUGAAAAUUCAAACACGAAGCUAAGCUCUACCUUAUGAGUAAAAUGGUUAUGGCAUGAGGCCUGAAAAAUUCCAUAUCAUUGUUUCAAAACUAAGAAUAAGAUGAUACGUUGAAAUUUAUGACAUCAUAUUAGUACCCAAGACAACAACAUGUCAAAGAAAUAAGCAAAAUCUAUAGAUUUAUUUUUAAUAAUCAUGUUGGGCCCGUGCAAGCACGGGCCAUUACCAUCUAGCCUAUAUAGAAGUGGAAGUUAAUGGGACUAACACAACAUCAAAUAGAUGUACCAAAGGUAAUACAAGUUGUACUGUAUUGGGGCCCACUUCAUUAAACAAGUACUACUCUCCACUCAUAUCACAAACACACAUGUACUAUGUAGGGAGUUGGGAAGGACCAACAAGGACACAUCUGUAAUUUUCUUAAGCUUACCCCACUCAUAUCACAAAGACACAUGUACUAUGUAUAACACAUAGAUGCUUUUUAUAUUAUCUAUGGAUUGAUUCAUUUUUCCCUUACAGUCUCAUAAUUCCAAAACCGUUAAAUUUCUCUUAAUUUUCCAGUAAAUAUCUCAAAAGGUCAUUCAACUUUGAGAAAUUAUAUUGUAAAACUAUUCAACUUUAUUUUAUACUUCUUAUUUAUAUUACUCCUUAUUAGAAGUGAGACUUUAGAGGACAAACACGACACUACAAAGUUUUACACAAAGCAUUUCAAAUUGUACUAUAAAAUUCAUUGUCGCUCAUUAAUUGUACACGUGUCUUUCAACAUAUACAACAAUCCACAUUAAUAAUUACUUUUCUGACUUUUUUUCCUCAGUUUCUCUCUCUAUAUAUUCG
rnacentral:lncRNA from 1 species